rnacentral:rRNA from 1 species
AUACGUAGGGGGCGAGCGUUGUCCGGAAUGAUUGGGCGUAAAGGGCGCGUAGGCGGCCCGGUAAGUCUGGAGUGAAAGUCCUGUUUUUAAGAUGGGAAUUGCUUUGGAUACUGUCGGGCUUGAGUGCAGGAGAGGUAAGUGGAAUUCCCAGUGUAGCGGUGAAAUGCGUAGAGAUUGGGAGGAACACCAGUGGCGAAGGCGACUUACUGGACUGUAACUGACGCUGAGGCGCGAAAGUGUGGGGAGCAAACAGGAUUGGAUACCCUGGUAGUCCACACUGUAAACGAUGAAUGCUAGGUGUAGGGGGUGUCGACCCCUUCUGUGCCGCAGUCAACACAAUAAGCAUUCCGCCUGGGGAGUACGGCCGCAAGGUUGAAACUCAAAUGAAUUGACGGGG